rnacentral:rRNA from 1 species
UACGUAGGGGGCAAGCGUUGUCCGGAAUCAUUGGGCGUAAAGCGCGUGUAGGCGGCCUUGUAAGUCCGUUCUGAAAGUCCGGGGCUCAACCCCGGGAGGCGGAUGGAUACUGCAAGGCUCGAGUCCGGAAGAGGCAAGUGGAAUUCCCGGUGUAGCGGUGAAAUGCGCAGAUAUCAGGAGGAACACCGAUUGCGAAGGCAGCUCGCUGGGACGUAACUGACGCUGAGACGCGAAAGCGUGGGGAGCAAACAGG